CAACAGCGAAAGCGAUCGAAGUGAAAAUACUGCAAUGCAACAUGUGUCUUUCUAUGAUUGUUUUUGAAUAUACAGAAAAGUUAAAAUGUUGCGUUGCAGAUUGGAGCGUAGAGCGCGGUUUCUC
rnacentral:misc_RNA from 1 species